GGGGGCAACCCUGGCGGCGAGCGGCGAACGGGUGAGUAACACAUCGGAACGUGCCCUAUCGUGGGGGAUAACGAAUCGAAAGAUUCGCUAAUACCGCAUACGACCUGAGGGUGAAAGCGGGGGAUCGCAAGACCUCGCGCGAUUGGAGCGGCCGAUGUCGGAUUAGCUAGUUGGUGAGGUAAAGGCUCACCAAGGCGACGAUCCGUAGCUGGUCUGAGAGGACGACCAGCCACACUGGGACUGAGACACGGCCCAGACUCCUACGGGAGGCAGCAGUGGGGAAUUUUGGACAAUGGGGGCAACCCUGAUCCAGCCAUUCCGCGUGAGUGAAGAAGGCCUUCGGGUUGUAAAGCUCUUUCGGCAGGAACGAAACGGUGCGGGCUAAUACCC
rnacentral:rRNA from 1 species